AUUGAACGCUGGCGGAAUGCUUUACACAUGCAAGUCGAACGGCAGCACGGGGGCAACCCUGGUGGCGAGUGGCGAACGGGUGAGUAAUACAUCGGAACGUGCCCAGUCGUGGGGGAUAACGCAGCGAAAGCUGUGCUAAUACCGCAUACGAUCUAUGGAUGAAAGCGGGGGACCGUAAGGCCUCGCGCGAUUGGAGCGGCCGAUGGCAGAUUAGGUAGUUGGUGGGGUAAAGGCUCACCAAGCCGACGAUCUGUAGCUGGUCUGAGAGGACGACCAGCCACACUGGGACUGAGACACGGCCCAGACUCCUACGGGAGGCAGCAGUGGGGAAUUUUGGACAAUGGGCGCAAGCCUGAUCCAGCCAUUCCGCGUGCAGGAUGAAGGCCCUCGGGUUGUAAACUGCUUUUGUACGGAACGAAAAGCCUUCUUCUAAUACAGGAGGGUCAUGACGGUACCGUAAGAAUAAGCACCGGCUAACUACGUGCCAGCAGCCGCGGUAA
rnacentral:rRNA from 1 species